rnacentral:misc_RNA from 1 species
AGUCCCGCCACCUCAGAUAGCCCCAGCACAAACGCCACCAUCACCAGCACCUGUAACACCACCAGUGUCUCCACCUAAGGCGCCACCAGUAUCAGCACCGACACCAGUCGCUCCUCCACCUGCUGUGAUAUCACCAGUAGCAGCACCAGAGUUAGCACCCGCGCCAGCACCAGCUCAUGGCAAGCACAAAAGAAAGAAGCACAAGCAUAAGCACCAUCACGCGCCAGCACCUGCACCAACUGUGCCAAGUCCGCCAGCACCACCAACCGUCCAAGAUU